ensembl:snoRNA
UAUUUUUUAAAUCUAUCCCGAACCUGAUUUCAUGUGAAUGAAAUUCUAUCGGAUCUGACUUCUGAAAC